rnacentral:rRNA from 1 species
CGCUGGCGGCGUGCCUAAUACAUGCAAGUCGAACGCACUCUCGUUUAGAUGGAAGGAGCUUGCUCCUGAUUGAUAACAUUUGAGUGAGUGGCGGACGGGUGAGUAACACGUGGGUAACCUGCCCUAAAGUGGGGAUAACAUUUGGAAACAGAUGCUAAUACCGCAUAAAACCUAACACCGCAUGGUGUAGGGUUGAAAGAUGGUUUCGGCUAUCACUUUAGGAUGGACCCCGCGGUGCAUUAGUUAGUUGGUGAGGUAAAGGCUCACCAAGACCGUGAUGCAUAGCCGACCUGAGAGGGUAAUCGGCCACACUGGGACUGAGACACGGCCCAGACUCCUACGGGAGGCAGCAGUAGGGAAUCUUCCACAAUGGACGAAAGUCUGAUGGAGCAACGCCGCGUGAGUGAAGAAGGUUUUCGGAUCGUAAAACUCUGUUGUUGGAGAAGAAUGUAUCUGAUAGUAACUGAUCAGGUAGUGACGGUAUCCAACCAGAAAGCCACGGCUAACUACGUG